rnacentral:tRNA from 1 species
GUAAAUAUAGUUUAAUAAAAACAUUAGAUUGUGAAUCUAAUAAUAGAAGAUUACAUCUCCUUAUUUACU